AUUACCAUUAUUGUUAUUUUGAGACAUGUUCUCAAUCUGUAGCCCUGACCAGCCAGGCUGAAUUUGAACUCACAGUGAUCCACCUGCCUCUUCCUCCCACGUCCUGAGAAUAAAGGUGAACACCACCAUACACACCAAGGAAAUCAUAUUUUUUUAAAUUUUAAAAUGGUAUUAAAACAGUGAUGUUUUUCAAAUAACUGAUAUAUUGUUACUUUUCAUGAGGUAGAGAUCUUGUUAUCUAUAUUUUACAGAAGAAAUGUCAAGGGCUAAAAUAGUGAAGGGCCAUUCUCAGAAACCAACAUCUAUAAAGUGGAAAAGUUGAACUCAGAUCUGUUUUCCUCCAAAAUCUGGGAUAUGACAAUAUCUGAUACCUCUAUGGCAAAAAGAAUAGAGAGAGAGAGAGAGAGAGAGAGAGAGAGAGAGAGAGAGAGAGCAAGUAUAGAUUUUUAAGUACAGCAAUUCAUUCAGCUCAGCUCUGAGUCAUGAGAUUUCAGAAUGGUGUAUGGAGAUAUCUUUGUGAUAGGUUGAAUUCUGACCUCUAUCUUAUGAGUUCUUUAUUUGAGAUAUCAGCUACAGAAAUGGACACUCUGCAAUGGUCACUGAAGAAACAGUGAAGGAGAUGAGGUGGGGGAGUUAUCCCACUGAAAGGGAAGAGUAUUCCCAGGACCACUCAAGGGGAGGAGUAUGGAAUAACCUGAAAACUGGGGAGAGGACACUCCAUAUCUCUGAGCAUGCUCAAGUGCCCUUUUGUGAAAGUCCUAUGAUGUACUCCACACAAAAAUACCUGCUACUUCAAGCCAGAGUCAACUUGCUCAAGGCAUGGACAUAUAUCUUCCCUGAACUCUUGCUGUCUUCUUCUGCCCAUCCCAAGUCAUGCAGGGCAAGUGAGAGAGUGUUAUCUCAACUCUGUGGAGUUCACCAGUUCACCCAGAACUUACUUGGCCUUAUACUGUGGAACUUGUUGUACCAAUGAGGAAUCUGCCAUCCAAUUAGCUGAGUGGCUUGGACAAGUCCUCAUUAAAUCACCUGUGAAUUGUGAAGAGGACAAAGAGUCGGCUAGACUAAGACUCUUCGAGCCCUGAAGCUUGUAUUUCUCAAGUCACAGAUGCAAAAACAUGAGCAGCCCUCAGUCUGUCAUCAGAGAGCAACACACCCUCAAAUUAUCCAUCAAGAGACAUACAAACCCACCUCCUGAGCCACACCCUGAAGCAAAGAGCCCCACCUCAGUUCAUUACCUAAGAGAAACUCUCUACAGGAUCUUCUGACCCAGGAUCCCCAGGCCCUUGUUUCUCUGGACUCUUAAAGGCAGAAUGAAAGCUCAUCUAUUCAAGGAACUUCCCUCUUAAAAAAAAAAUAUGGUUUAAAGUUUCUUCUACUCUUGUCUCCCACUGCCUGGAGUUUAACCUUACUCAAGGGACUGUCUCAUUUAUCUGCAGGCAUUUCCUCCCAGGCUGUAAAUUCCUCAAAGAAAAAGGCUGUGUGUCGUUUUAUUGAGUGUUUGGGUCAGGAACCAGCUUGCAUAUAGGUAGGGCUGGGUGUCUGUGUCUUCCGGGACCACUCUAGAAGUAGAUUAAAGAUAGUCACAUGUUAUCUGAUCCUUUUCCCACUAAGAGGAAGAUGCCUCUAUUGCUUCCUUCUAGACAGCCAGAUGUUAUUUGUAUUGUUCCUAAUUUGUGUGGGAACACUGAGGCCCAAAGACUUGAUGUUCCAAGCCAUUCAGUGAGCAGAUAUCUAAAGAAGUCAACUUUGACUCCAAAAUUCAAGCACUCUGUCCUCAAGAAGUGUCUUUCUUCCUAAACAAAGGGACAAUAAGAAACAAGGAGACCUGGGAGCACAGGAAACAAACAACAGAACAAGAGGAAGAAGGAAAAGGCAUGUGUACAUGUCACCAGAUCGUGAUGGGAUAUACACUGUGCGUCGGAAUCUCAGCCUCAUUAUAAUCCUGAAAGACAAAGCAUAACUGGAUGCCAGGAGAAACUGCAGAGCAACAGUAGAAGACUGACUCAUGAAGGAUCUAAGAGAACUGGCUUUAGCUUGAGCAACUUGGUUUGCAUUCUGUCUCCUGAGAAGCAUGAUCUUGGGGAAGAUAUCCCAUGCCUCUUGGUCUUGGUUUCCGAUCCAGGAGAUGGAUAAUGUAGCACAUUUUUCAUAAAUGGAUGUCAAGAGUUCAACUCAAUAAAAUCUUAAGGCAUA